rnacentral:rRNA from 1 species
CCUACGGGAGGCAGCAGUGGGGAAUAUUGGACAAUGGGCGAAAGCCUGAUCCAGCAAUGCCGCGUGAGUGAUGAAGGCCUUAGGGUCGUAAAGCUCUUUUACCAGGGAUGAUAAUGACAGUACCUGGAGAAUAAGCUCCGGCUAACUCCGUGCCAGCAGCCGCGGUAAUACGGAGGGAGCUAGCGUUGUUCGGAAUUACUGGGCGUAAAGCGUACGUAGGCGGUUAUUCAAGUCAGAGGUGAAAGCCCGGGGCUCAACCCCGGAACGGCCUUUGAAACUAGGUAGCUAGAGUCUUGGAGAGGUCAGUGGAAUUCCGAGUGUAGAGGUGAAAUUCGUAGAUAUUCGGAAGAACACCAGUGGCGAAGGCGACUGACUGGACAAGUACUGACGCUGAGGUACGAAAGCGUGGGGAGCAAACAGGAUUAGAUACCCUGGUAGUCCACGCCGUAAACGAUGAUAACUAGCUGUUCGGGUACUUGGUAUCUGAGUGGCGCGAGCUACGACAUUAAGUUAUUCCGUCCGUGGGUAGGUACGGUCGCGAGAUAAACUACAAUAGAUAGACGCGUGAGACGUGCCGACGGACGACGACGAGGGAGGUAGG